AAGACCUUGCGCUUCUGGAGCGGCCGAUGCCUGAUUAGCUUGUUGGUAAGGUAAAAGCCUACCAAGGCUUCGAUCAGUAGCUGGUCUGAGAGGACGACCAGCCACACUGGGACUGAGACACGGCCCAGACUCCUACGGGAGGCAGCAGUGGGGAAUUUUGGACAAUGGGGGCAACCCUGAUCCAGCCAUGCCGCGUGAGUGAAGAAGGCCUUCGGGUUGUAAAGCUCUUUCAGCCGGAACGAAACGGUUACGGAUAACACCCGUGACUACUGACGGUACCGGAAGAAGAAGCACCGGCUAACUACGUGCCAGCAGCCGCGGUAAUACGUAGGGUGCGAGCGUUAAUCGGAAUUACUGGGCGUAAAGCGUGCGCAGGUGGUUUUGUAAGUCAGAUGUGAAAGCCCCGGGCUCAACCUGGGAACU
rnacentral:rRNA from 1 species